AAGAGACGUUGCCCUUCGGGGUAUACCUCCCACCCUUUGUUUAUUAUACCUUUGUUGCUUUGGCGGACCCGUCUCGGACCACCGGCUUCUGCUGGUCAGUGCCCGCCAGAGGACCUAAAACUCUGUUUGUUAAUAUUGUCUGAGUACUAUAUAAUAGUUA
rnacentral:misc_RNA from 1 species